rnacentral:rRNA from 1 species
GAUGAACGCUGGCGGCGUGCCUAAUACAUGCAAGUCGAGCGAACAGACGAGAGUGCUUGCACUCUCUGACGUUAGCGGCGGACGGGUGAGUAACACGUGGGUAACCUACCUAUAAGACUGGGAUAACUUCGGGAAACCGUAGCUAAUACCGGAUAAUAUUUAGCUUCGCAUGACGCAAUAGUUAAAGACGUUUCUGCUGUCACUUAGAGAUGGACCCGCGGUGUAUUAGCUAGUUGGUGAGGUAACGGCUCACCAAGGCAACGAUACAUAGCCGACCUGAGAGGGUGAUCGGCCACACUGGGAAUGAGACACGGCCCAGACUCCUACGGGAGGCAGCAGUAGGGAAUCUUCCGCAAUGGACGAAAGUCUGACGGAGCAAUGCCGCGUGAGUGAAGAAGGUUUUCGGAUCGUAAAACUCUGUUGUAAGGGAAGAACAAGUACGUUAGUAACUGAACGUACCUUGACGGUACCUUACCAGAAAGCCACGGCUAACUACGUG